CUACAUUUCAUCGUGAUAAUUUAAUUGGUUCGUGAAUCGUUUAACUACUUAGAUACCUAAUGUAAUUUGUCUUCUGUUCAGUUGACAAGCGCAACAUGUGACAAUCAAAUUUUGCAAAAAUUGGCCCAUGCAUGUUUGAAUAAUUUUUCGAGACAGUUUUCAAGCUUCCGCAAUGCAGAUUACUUUACGCGAACAACUGGUGAAAAUAAUCAAACAAUUUUUCGGCCGAGAAAAUAUCUUCGGUUACGAGACGACUUUAGCCAAUCAACUCUUCCUGCUUUAUUGUUUCUGCGGUAAAAUUUAUUUCACUCGUAAGAUCACUAAUUCGUUCAGAUUUAUAUGGACACUGUUCAAUUUGAGCGGUUUACUCGUUGGUUACGUGAUCGCGGGGGCAUUUUUACUCCACGAUAAAGAACCCGAUAUUUCGAUGCAGUUGCUUAUGAUAAAUGUGAUGGCAAAUUCAACCCUGAUGGGAUUCUUCAUACCUUUAAUCACGUUUCUGUAUCGCGACAAUAUCGAACAAUGUAUUCGCGAUAUUGACCGAAUUUUCCGAAACAGAUCCUCGCAUCAGGAGGAUAAACUCGACUUAUGGAAAUACGUUCUCAGGAAUAUUGUGAUCGAACUCAUCAGCGGUGCUGUAUUCGCCAACGUUUGCUUAUGCGAUGUUCUCGUUUUCAACGAAGAGGAAAAAAUUAAAGAUUACACGUAUUAUUUGUACCCUUUUCCCAAUACGGAGCUAACUGGCACCUUGACAAUUUUCCUAAUCAAUACCGCUCUGUCUCACGUUAUUUUAUCAUCGCAAGCUUUCGCAGCAUUGUCAUCUAUGGCCAUUAUAUUAAUCUGGAGGGUCAUUUGCAAUGCACAGUUGAAGAAAGCGAGAAAAAAAUUGGAUUACAGGUCAGCCAUUUUGAGCUCGUUUAUUGAGGAAAAUUAUCACAUGUACGGUUUGUCCAGAUAUGCAGAAAAAACAUUCGAGAAAAUUACAAUAGAAGGAAUACGGGAUGUCCAGCAAAUCACUCGGUCAUUCUCAUUGCCUAAGACGCAAAUACUUCUUGUACAUAUCAAUGUCUAGGUGUAUCCUGAAUUUAUAACUAAAAUGUGAUCAUUUGUUCGCAGAUUGAUUGAAAGUCUACGAAAAUUUUAUCAGUUGUUCUGUUCGUCAGCUGUUCCGGUAACUAUCAUAGGCGUUAUAGUUCAAUUACAUACAAUUGUGUCAACCAAUUUACCGUGGGCAGUCAAGAUUAAAGGAAUUGGCAUGAUGGCUGCUGUAGCUUACCCCUUACUACUCGUCUGUUGGAUUGGAGAGACGCUCGAAAAUUCGAUGUCGUUGGUCUCGUUUUCAGUCUACUCGAUGCCAUGGUAUUGGAGCAAAAAUUUUCGUCAGAACACCCACCUGUUUCUUUGCCAAACGCAACACGAUCUGAAUUUCACUUCCAUAAAGGUUUAUCCGAUGUUGCUGAGAACAUUUUCACGUUUUUGUCAUUUCGUUUCAUCGACUGUGAAUUUUCUACAUCAAUUGAGUCGGUAGUCGUUCCAGAUAUCCUGAAAACAAACACAGAAAUGCAAAAAUGUUAUCGUUAUGUAAUAGGUAAUAUGUAUAUGUACAUGUUUGUAUCAAAUGUACCUAUCUAUUAUAUACAGAUCUGUGCUCA